rnacentral:rRNA from 1 species
AGGACGAACGCUGGCGGCGUGCUUAACACAUGCAAGUCGAGCGGAAAGGCCCUUCGGGGUACUCGAGCGGCGAACGGGUGAGUAACACGUGAGCAAUCUGCCCUUAGCUUCGGGAUAGCUCCGGGAAACCGGAAUUAAUACCGGAUAUGGCCCUGACUGACAUCGGUCAGGGUGGAAAGGAUUCCGGCUGAGGAUGGACUCGCGGCCUAUCAGCUAGUUGGUGGAGUAACGGCCCACCAAGGCGACGACGGGUA